rnacentral:rRNA from 1 species
CAGCAGCCACGGGAAUACGGAGGAUCCGAGCGUUAUCCGGAUUUAUUGGGUUUAAAGGGUGCGUAGGCGGCCUAUUAAGUCAGGGGUGAAAGACGGUAGCUUAACUAUCGCAGUGCCUUUGAUACUGAUGGGCUUGAAUGUACUUGAAGUGGGCGGAAUGUGACAAGUAGCGGUGAAAUGCAUAGAUAUGUCACAGAACACCGAUUGCGAAGGCAGCUCACUAAAGUAUGAUUGACGCUGAGGCACGAAAGCGUGGGGAUCAAACAGGAUUAGAGACCCGCGUAGUCCCUGUCUCUUAUAC